UACGGGGGGGGCAAGCGUUGUUCGGAAUUACUGGGCGUAAAGGGCUCGUAGGCGGCCAACUAAGUCCGACGUGAAAUCCCCAGGCUUAACCUGGGAACUGCGUCGGAUACUGGCAGGCUUGAAUCCGGGAGAGGGAUGCGGAAUUCCAGGUGUAGCGGUGAAAUGCGUAGAUAUCUGGAGGAACACCGGUGGCGAAGGCGGCAUCCUGGACCGGCAUUGACGCUGAGGCGCGAAAGCCAGGGGAGCAAACGGGG
rnacentral:rRNA from 1 species